rnacentral:rRNA from 1 species
GAGGGUAAUCGGCCACAUUGGGACUGAGACACGGCCCAAACUCCUACGGGAGGCAGCAGUAGGGAAUCUUCCACAAUGGACGAAAGUCUGAUGGAGCAACGCCGCGUGAGUGAAGAAGGGUUUCGGCUCGUAAAACUCUGUUGUUAAAGAAGAACAUAUCUGAGAGUAACUGUUCAGGUAUUGACGGUAUUUAACCAGAAAGCCACGGCUAACUACGUGCCAGCAGCCGCGGUAAUACGUAGGUGGCAAGCGUUGUCCGGAUUUAUUGGGCGUAAAGCGAGCGCAGGCGGUUUUUUAAGUCUGAUGUGAAAGCCUUCGGCUCAACCGAAGAAGUGCAUCGGAAACUGGGAAACUAUGAGUGCAGAAGAGGACAGUGGAACUCCAUGUGUAGCGGUGAAAUGCGUAGAUAUAUGGAAGAACACCAGUGGCGAAGGCGGCUGUCUGGUCUGUAACUGACGCUGAGGCUCGAAAGUAUGGGUAGCAAACAGGAUUAGAUACCCUGGUAGUCCAUACCGUAAACGAUGAAUGCUAAGUGUUGGAGGGUUUCCGCCCUUCAGUGCUGCAGCUAACGCAUUAAGCAUUCCGCCUGGGGAGUACGGCCGCAAGGCUGAAACUCAAAGGAAUUGACGGGGGCCCGCACAAGCGGUGGAGCAUGUGGUUUAAUUCGAAGCUACGCGAAGAACCUUACCAGGUCUUGACAUACUAUGCAAAUCUAAGAGAUUAGACGUUCCCUUCGGGGACAUGGAUACAGGUGGUGCCAUGGUUGUCGUCAGCUCGUGUCGUGAGAU